rnacentral:rRNA from 1 species
ACUCAAAUGAAUAGACGGGGGCCCGCACAAGCAGUGGAUUAUGUGGUUUAAUUCGAAGCAACGCGAAGAACCUUACCAGGGCUUGACAUCCUACCGACGGGGCAGAGACGCCCCGGUGCCCUUCGGGGAGGGUAGAGACAGGUGGUGCAUGGUUGUCGUCAGCUCGUGUCGUGAGAUGUUGGGUUAAGUCCCGCAACGAGCGCAACCCCUAUUGUUAGUUGCUACGCGAGAGCACUCUAGCGAGACUGCCGUUGACAAAACGGAGGAAGGCGGGGACGACGUCAAAUCAUCAUGCCCCUUAUGUCCUGGGCUACACACGUAAUACAAUGGCGCCCAACAGAGGGAAGCGAGGCCGCGAGGCGGAGCGAAUCCCCAAAAGGCGUCCCAGUUCGGAUCGCAGGCUGCAACCCGCCUGCGUGAAGUCGGAAUUGCUAGUAAUCGCGGAUCAGCAAGCCGCGGUGAAUACGUUCCCGGGCCUUGUACACACCGCCCGU